CAAGAGCCUCGAAAAGGGCCUUCGAAC
rnacentral:rRNA from 1 species